UCGGCUUGGAGGGACGACAACAAAGACGGUCCUUUGACUUACUUUUACAGUUACCGGUUCAGUUGUGUUUUGGUCUUCGACGAGAGCACUUAGAAAUUUUCGCGGAGGCUGUUCGUGCGAUUAUUAACGAACAGACUAAAGUUGCGGAGUGGGGAGAGUCGGCUUGGAGGGACGACAACAAAGACGGUCCUUUGACAUACUUUUACAGUUACCGCUUCAGUUGUGUUUUGGUCUUCGACGAGAGAACUUAGAAAUUUUCGCGGAGGCCGUCCGUGCGAUUAUUAACGAACAGACUAAAGUAGCGAAGUGGGGAUAGUCGGCUUGGAGGGACGACAACAAAGACGGUCCUUUGACAUACUUUUACAGUUACCGCUUCAGUUGUGUUUUGGUCUUCGACGAGAGCACUUAGAAAUUUUCGCGGAGGCCGUCCGUGCGAUUAUUAACGAACAGACUAAAGUUGCGAAGUGGGGAUAGUCGGCUUGGAGGGACGACAACAAAGCCGGUCCUUUGACAUACUUUUACAGUUACCGCUUCAGUUGUGUUUUGGUCUUCGACGAGAGAACUUAGAAAUUUUCGCGGAGGCCGUCCGUGCGAUUAUUAACGAACAGGUAGUUUAAAUAUAUAUCUGUAUCACUCAUGCUUACAAUAUUCUAUACAGUUUGUUGGAUUUUAGACUAAAGUUGCGAAGUGGGGAUAGUCGGCUUGGAGGGACGACAACAAAGCCGGUCCUUUGACAUACUUUUACAGUUACCGCUUCAGUUGUGUUUUGGUCUUCGACGAGAGAACUUAGAAAUUUUCGCGGAGGCCGUCCGUGCGAUUAUUAACGAACAGGUGAUUUAAAUAUACAUCUGUAUCACACAUGCUUACAAUAUUCUAUACAGUUUGUUGGAUUUUAGACUAAAGUUGCGAAGUGGGGAUAGUCGGCUUGGAGGGACGACAACAAAGCCGGUCCUUUGACAUACUUUUACAGUUACCGCUUCAGUUGUGUUUUGGUCUUCGACGAGAGAACUUAGAAAUUUCCGCGGAGGCCGUUCGAGCGAUUAUUAACGCAGGUGAUUUAAAUAUAUAUCUGUAUCACUCAUGCUUACAAUAUUCUAUACAGUUUGUUGGAUUUUAGACUAAAGUUGCGAAGUGGGGAUAGUCGGCUUGGAGGGACGACAACAAAGCCGGUCCUUUGACAUACUUUUAUAGUUACCGCUUCAGUUGUGUUUUGGUUUCGACGAGAGAACUUAGAAAUUUCCGCGGAGGCCGUUCGAGCGAUUAUUAACGCAGUUUGUUGGAUUUUAGACUAAAGUUGCGAAGUGGGGAUAGUCGGCUUGGAGGGACGACAACAAAGCCGGUCCUUUGACAUACUUUUACAGUUACCGGUUCAGUUGUGUUUUGGUCUUCGACGAGAGAACUUAGAAAUUUUCGCGGAGGCCGUCCGUGCGAUUAUUAACGAACAGGUAGUUUAAAUAUAUAUCUGUAUCACUCAUGGGUACAAUAUUCUAUACAGUUUGUUGGAUUUUAGACUAAAGUUGCGGAGUGGGGAGAGUCGGCUUGGAGGGACGACAACAAAGACGGUCCUUUGACAUACUUUUACAGUUACCGCUUCAGUUGUGUUUUGGUCUUCGACGAGAGAACUUAGAAAUUUCCGCGGAGGCCGUUCGAGCGAUUAUUAACGAACAGACUAAAGUUGCGAAGUGGGGAUAGUCGGCUUGGAGGGACGACAACAAAGCCGGUCCUUUGACAUACUUUUACAGUUACCGGUUCAGUUGUGUUUUGGUCUUCG